GAGCACUCGAAGGCUCUGAGCAGAGCAGUGACAGGAUCCGACUCAUAUAUGGCUGGGAUCCCUCUGGCUGCCACGCUGAGGAUGGGUUACAGAGGCUGCGGCAGAAGCAGGGGACCAGUUGGGAGCUGAUGGUGGCCUGGAUAAGAAUACAAGCUGACAAGACAGGAUUUGAUUAUAUACUGGAUCCCAAGUGAAAAUUGAAGGAUGGCACUGAGGUUUUGUUUGUUUAUUUCUUUGCUUAUUAAUUUAUUCUAAGUACACAUGUGUCAACUUUGUUUAUGCUACAACGGACACUUAUUUUGUACCAUUGUCAGUUGUGUAAGUGUCUGUUCCUUCCACUGGACUGUGGGCUUCGCUAGUGUCCAGUGCUUUUAUUUUUUUAUCUUUGAUCUCCAUAAAAUCUCUGUAGGAGGCACUCCUGCAAGAAGCAUGUGUGACAAAACUGAAAGAACCAUAUGACUGGGAGUCCAAGAAACUCUUUUUUGGGAACCCCUGUGCGAGUGCAGAGGAAGAAAACAGGGGCGUUUUUUUCCUUACUGGCUGGGGACACAGGCAAGCGGUGCAGUUAUGAGGGUAAAACUCAGGACCAGUGCCUGGUGGGGUGGACUCUGAAGGCGUUUGAAGGUCAAAGGAGAUCUGGACUUUGGGAUGUCCCUGGUAGAUGGAUGAAGAAACUGGGACUCAGAGAGGUUAAGGAUCGGCCCAGGAAUUUCAAAUUCGAUCACCAAAGUUGCUGCAAAUUUGGGCCUCUCCAACUGACACCAGCCAGAGAAAGCUUCAUUUGUCUUUGCAAGGCCUCCCUCAAUCCACACUCUUUUUGGAAAAGAUGCUGGAAAUUCUGUGCUCCACGAGUUGAUACUGGCAAGUAUUCUGCUGGUUUGGGUAACUCCGGGCCCACAAGAUAGAAUCCUGGCUCCCUGGGAUUAGGACACCUCAAGGGGUCAUCUAGCGACUCCUUUGCUUCUAGGGAGGGACACACCCAAACCUUCCAGCAAAAUGUCUCUGCUUUCCAUAAGCGCAGCGCUUCACUGAGUGCGGAACCAGCGGCCCUUUACGCAUGCGCGCUCCCUCAGGCUGCACCAGGGCUCUACUGGAUAAAGCUGGAUGGAACCUGUGACACCGCUGAUGUGCAACUGCUUUUGUCCUGAAAAAGAGAUAAUUUCAUAAGGUUCAACCUAAUAAGUAUUAUUAACCUCAUUUUCCAGAUGAAGAAAAUGAGACUCAGAGAGGUUUACAAUUUUUUUCUAGUAAGUGGAAGAGUCAGGGUUUUUACUCAGAGUUGAGUGAUUCCAAAUCUCACUGUUUUUUAGCUUUUUCAAGUUGUGAAACAUUUUAAUCAUACACAGAAGCAUAUGUAUGUAGACAUCAUAUUUAAUAUGUAAUUGGAAAAGAGGCAGAACAGUGUUAUUAUUUUAAACAGAAGGCUGUAAUAUUAUGCUAUUUUGUUUUUACUGUUGUUUGAUUAAAUUUGGCAUUUAAAUAGUGGUGGAAAUAUCUUGUAUAAUUUUCAGUUUUUGCUAGUGCAAGGAAAAAAACCAAUUUCCUUCUCUUUCUCCCGCAGAAAGGUACAUCAUCCCGACUGGUAUACAAUACACGCCAUGCGUGACUUAAACACGCCCCAUCAGUGUUUCAUGAACAUGUGAUUGCACUGUUUUGCAUUUUUAAGUUUUAUUUCAUUGAUAUCAGACUGUGAUUUGCUUUUCUUUUUUCCUUUUGUGCCUUGUUUUUUAUUCAAUU